AGGAAAAUCCGCUUACCGUAAAGGCUGAGCUGUGAUGGCGAGGGAAAUAUAGUACCGAAGUUCCUGAUUCCACACUGCCAAGAAAAGCCUCUAGCGAGAUAAAAGGUGCCCGUACCGCAAACCGACACAGGUAGGCGAGGAGAGAAUCCUAAGGUGUGCGAGAGAACUCUCGUUAAGGAACUCGGCAAAAUGACCCCGUAACUUCGGGAGAAGGGGUGCUUUUUGAGGUGAAUAGCCUCGAAGAGCCGCAGUGAAUAGGCCCAGGCGACUGUUUAGCAAAAACACAGGUCUCUGCGAAGCCGCAAGGCGAAGUAUAGGGGCUGACGCCUGCCCGGUGCUGGAAGGUUAAGAGGAGGGGUUAGCGCAAGCGAAGCUCUGAAUCGAAGCCCCAGUAAACGGCGGCCGUAACUAUAACGGUCCUAAGGUAGCGAAAUUCCUUGUCGGGUAAGUUCCGACCCGCACGAAAGGCGUAACGAUCUGGGCACUGUCUCAACGAGAGACUCGGUGAAAUUAUAGUACCUGUGAAGAUGCAGGUUACCCGCGACAGGACGGAAAGACCCCGUGGAGCUUUACUGUAGCCUGAUAUUGAAUUUUGGUACAGCUUGUACAGGAUAGGUAGGAGCCUGAGAAACCGGAGCGCUAGCUUCGGUGGAGGCGUCGGUGGGAUACUACCCUGGCUGUAUUGAAAUUCUAACCCGCACCCCUUAUCGGGGUGGGAGACAGUGUCAGGUGGGCAGUUUGACUGGGGCGGUCGCCUCCUAAAGAGUAACGGAGGCGCCCAAAGGUUCCCUCAGAAUGGUUGGAAAUCAUUCGCAGAGUGUAAAGGCACAAGGGAGCUUGACUGCGAGACCUACAAGUCGAGCAGGGACGAAAGUCGGGCUUAGUGAUCCGGUGGUUCCGCAUGGAAGGGCCAUCGCUCAACGGAUAAAAGCUACCCCGGGGAUAACAGGCUUAUCUCCCCCAAGAGUCCACAUCGACGGGGAGGUUUGGCACCUCGAUGUCGGCUCAUCGCAUCCUGGGGCUGUAGUCGGUCCCAAGGGUUGGGCUGUUCGCCCAUUAAAGCGGUACGCGAGCUGGGUUCAGAACGUCGUGAGACAGUUCGGUCCCUAUCCGUCGUGGGCGCAGGAAAUUUGAGAGGAGCUGUCCUUAGUACGAGAGGACCGGGAUGGACGCACCGCUGGUGUACCAGUUGUCUUGCCAAAGGCAUCGCUGGGUAGCUAUGUGCGGACGGGAUAAGUGCUGAAAGCAUCUAAGCAUGAAGCCCCCCUCAAGAUGAGAUUUCCCAUAGCGUCAAGCUAGUAAGAACCCUGAAAGAUGAUCAGGUUGAUAGGUCAGAGGUGGAAGCGUGGUAACAUGUGGAGCUGACUGAUACUAAUCGUUCGAGGACUUAACCAAUUU
rnacentral:rRNA from 1 species